UGCUGAAAACCAAUUCGGCAGAAAGGACAAGUUAGUAACGCAGCACCCUCGCGCCCCGAAAGAGCCCGGUACUUCGCUGUGCGUGACGCGACUACAGGCGGCGCCCGCGGGGCCGGGACAGGCGGUCCGGGCGCCCGGCGCGUGGGAAGCGGGCCUCGCCCUCGUCCUGCCCCGCCCUAGUUGGGAAGCGGCCGCGGCUGGGGAGGCUGCCUUCCCGUUUCCGUCCUAAGAAGCAGGAGGCGCAACUCGCAUCCCGCAGCCUGCCCGGGACUCCGGGCCGCGCCUCCCUCCCAGCCGCGCCACCCGCUCACCCGCACGAACACCACCACGGCGCGGCGCUCCCGGAACAGCGCGCCGAAAGAGUGAUGAACUCAGACAUCAUCAAAACAUCGUUUUGCAGGAGGAAUAGUAGCCAUGCAGAAAUGCAGAAAUUAGAAGAGAGGGAGUCUCACUACGUUUUCCAGGCUGGAGUCCAGUGGCUAUUCACAGGUGCUAUGAUUAUAGCACACUACAGUCUCAUACUCCUGGCCUCAAGCAAUCCUCCUGCCUCAGCCUCCUGAGUAGCUGAGACUACAGGUGCAUGUCACCAUGCCUGGCUGAUCAGAGUUUACUCAUUCAUUAUAGUAAACUUUACCUGUUUAACCUACA